AGGAAACCCCUCCACUGAGUUUUAAAGAGCUGUCAGACUGCAGAGAGGAGCACAGUACAAGGUCACAAGUCUCUGUAGCCUCUCCUAGGAACAGCAGGUUUAAGCAGGAACAAACCCUGCAUGGGAACUCAGUAUUUUGCAGAUGAUGUGGUCCUGUUGGCAUCACUGGGCUGUGAACUCAAGCACACAUUUUGAUGAUUUACGACAAAGUGUGAAGCAGCAUGGAUGAGGAUCAGCAGCUCCAAAUCUUAGGCCAUGGUCCUUAGUAGGAAAAGGUGGACUGUCCUCUAAUGUCCUGGGAGGUGAGUUAUUGCCUCAAUUGGAGGAGUUUAAGUACCUCAGGGUUCAUGAGUGAAGACCAAAGGAAUGGCAAGAUUGAGUGAUGGAUUGGGGCAGCAAAUGCAGUUAUGUGGUCACUAUUCCAACCUGUAGUGGUGAAGAAGGACCUGAGUCAGAAGGAGUAGCUCUCCAUCUUCCAGUCGAUGGUUGUCCCUACCCUUACCUAUGGUCAUAAGCUUUAGGUAAUGACUGAAAGAAUGCCAUCAAGUACAAGUAGCCGAAAUGAACUUUCAUUGCAGGGUGGCUGGGCUUUCCCUUAGAGGUAGAGUGAGAAGCACAGACAUCUGGGAGAGGCUCGAAGUACAGCCGUUGACCCUCCGCAUUGGGAGGAGCUAAUUGAGGUGGUUCGGGCAUCUGAUAUGGAAUGACCACCUGGG